rnacentral:rRNA from 1 species
UACGUAGGGGGCAAGCGUUGUCCGGAAUCAUUGGGCGUAAAGCGCGUGUAGGCGGCCCGGUAAGUCCGCUGUGAAAGUCGGGGGCUCAACCCUCGAAAGCCGGUGGAUACUGUCGGGCUCGAGUACGGGAGAGGCGAGUGGAAUUCCUGGUGUAGCGGUGAAAUGCGCAGAUAUCAGGAGGAACACCGAUUGCGAAGGCAGCUCGCUGGAACGUUACUGACGCUGAGACGCGAAAGCGUGGGGAGCAAACAGG